rnacentral:rRNA from 1 species
UACGGAGGGAGCUAGCGUUGUUCGGAAUUACUGGGCGUAAAGCGCACGUAGGCGGCUUUGUAAGUUAGAGGUGAAAGCCUGGGGCUCAACCCCAGAAUUGCCUUUAAGACUGCAUCGCUUGAAUCCGGGAGAGGUGAGUGGAAUUCCGAGUGUAGAGGUGAAAUUCGUAGAUAUUCGGAAGAACACCAGUGGCGAAGGCGGCUCACUGGACCGGUAUUGACGCUGAGGAGCGAAAGCGUGGGGAGCGAACAGG